ensembl:lncRNA
CAGGAAUAGUUGGUGCGUCAGAUGUAUCAGCAUUAUGAACAGGAAAGUCAAAGUGUUUAUUGUCGCAUACACCAAAUUGCUUCAGCGCAGCGAAAUUCUUACGACUUGGCAGCCAACAUCUACGCAGUAGACGGCAUACAACAGACCUAUGCAGACCUUGAAGGUUAUUUGAAAUCGCCUCUAACACAGGUAUAUAAGGAAUACUCAUAUCUUAUGAAAACAUUGGAUGCAAAAUAUGAAGCGAUCACGCUACUCUCCACAGUGCUUAAAGACAUCCAGUCCGUUCCAAAUGGCAAAAGCCACAACAUUGGCAAGCUGACAAAUAUGAAGAAAAAGAAACAAGGAACGUUGAACUCCGAGAUGCUUAAAUGUGAGCCCAUGUUGCAGAACACGCCGGUGGCUGUCACCAUCCCCAAAGCUGUUCAGGUUAUUGACACAGUAUCGUCCUGCCAGCAGAAGACCGCAUUGCCUGAGACUCCCGAGGUACCUGGGGAGGUUUCUCAACAUAGACGUUUGUCAGCUGUUGACUCCAACACCGUUGUGGGUUCACCUCACAUUGCAGAAUCAAACAAAAUAUCAAAAAAUAAGAUGCCAAAAGAUGUCUUGCCAAAGAAGUCAGAGGUGACCGUUUGUCUGCCUCACUCUCCUAAUGCAAGCAAAGAUGUCGUGCCAAAAAUUGUCACAAUGAAUGAACACAAGCCUCCAGCUGUCCAGGUAACCCAAACGUUUGCUGCUCCAAAGAGUGUCCCUGUGAGACAGACAACCAAGGAGACGCAUCCCAAUCUUAUCCAGAACUUUCCCUCACACCUCAUUGAUGUGGGAUUGGACAUCUGCUCUGAGGUUCAGUACCAAAAGCAAACCUCUUCACAGCUCAUGGCCUUCCUGAAGACCAGCCGUAAAACUCAAUUCAUGACUCUGUUGACCUUCAUCAAGAGCUCCUGUGAAAGAGGCAAAACGUACCCAAUGAUGUUGGCAUCUGGCCAAAUGAACACUGGUUCAGCCACAGAACCAAAGACUGAGGUGACGACAACAAGUCCUCCAAAGGACAAACGAGGUACUGGGCCCCCAGAAGUCAAGGGGCCAAUUUUCCAAGUAAAACAUGUAAAUGACGGCUCAUUGAUUUACAGCUGCAUCGUUGCCACCAGCACUGAGCUGUGGGAUAUCAGCGACAUCUGCACAGGGGUGAGUCAUGCUCCGUCAGAGUCUCAAAGCGUAGUGGGAAGCGGUCCUUCAUCUCUACAGGAGGUCUUGAAUCUUGAAAGUUGCCCUGACCCAGAGAGACCCCUAGCAUCCCAUCAGGUUGAAGGAGUAAGUGUGGAGGAAAGUGGUGACGUUGACGAGGGUUUGAGGAACGAUGCAGGUUCCGCUGUGGCAAUACCUCCGUUUCAGAUUCGCAAGUUUGAGGAGAUGGCCGUGGUGGUGACACACGUAGUGGACCCAGGCCUCUUCUACAUCCAGCACCAGAACUCAAAACUAACACAGCUCUCUUCUGAGAUGGACCUCAACAAAUGCGAUGCCUUUCUUGCUCAGAUAGACAGGGUCCCUGACAUUGGAAGCUACGCUCUUGGUUGGUUUCCCCAGCAACAAGAGUGGUGCCGAGUCCAGGUGGCUAAGAUAUGUGGGGUGAAAGGAGAUGCCUUUCAUUGUUCCACCGAUUAUGGAAGCAUCAAGAACAUUCAGGUAGAAGUGCAGAGAGUUGAUUUUGGAGAUACAGCUUGCCUCUCUCUGAAGGACCUCAGGAAGUUGAGUACAGAGGUGGCAGCCUACCCUGCACAGGCUUUGCAGGUGGCUCUAGCUAAUGUGAGUCCAGCAGAUGGAACGGUCUGGACAGGUCAGGCAGUGAGCUGGUUCAAGAACAAGGUGAACAACAGGACUCUGUACGCCAGGUUGUACCGUCAGGAGAUCAGAGUCACGGUAGAACUAUUUAUGGAGAAGGGCAAGAUCGGAGCCAUGAGAAGAGGAGCCUCACUGUCUUUGAGACUGGCUCAGAAUGGACAUGCCAAGCAUAGCCAGCUGAAGAACAUUGGCCUGAAGAGAAGUCUUGCUCAGGAGCAGUCAAGGAAGGAGGCAGUGGCUUGGGAGAAAUAUCUGAUAUCCUGCUAUGCACAGAACAAGAAAUGAAGUUUCCUGCUGUGAUGUGAUUUAAAAACAUGGAUGAAUAAAGUUCACUGAGGAUCAAAAAUAAGUUACAGUUUCCCUCUGUUGUUCAUACUGUUAGCAUGUAAGUCAAGUCCUUUACAUGUUGUUAGUGGAGGUAAAUAAUUAUGUUGUGUUGUUAGCCUACAUAUUUUUGUUCAGUUCUGAGGGUCAGCCAAUUUUGUAAUCAUUAUAUUUGUGGCUAUUAUGUGGUGUUUCUUGAUUAUGUUUGAGCAGAAUUAAAUUUGUUUUAUUCAUUAGUUUCUUUAUUUAAUCAGUUUCCCCCAUAUUUUGAACAUGUUAAUUUCCCACUUUUUAAAUUUGUCCUUUUGAACUUGAUUAGCU